rnacentral:rRNA from 1 species
ACGGAAGGCAGCAGUGGGGAAUAUUGCACAAUGGGCGAAAGCCUGAUGCAGCGACGCCGCGUGAACGAUGAAGUAUUUCGGUAUGUAAAGUUCUAUCAGCAGGGAAGAAAAAUGACGGUACCUGACUAAGAAGCACCGGCUAAAUACGUGCCAGCAGCCGCGGUAAUACAUAUGGUGCAAGCGUUAUCCGGAUUUACUGGGUGUAAAGGGAGCGCAGGCGGUACGGCAAGUCUGAUGUGAAAGCCCGGGGCUCAACCCCGGUACUGCAUUGGAAACUGUCGAACUAGAGUGUCGGAGGGGUAAGUGGAAUUCCUAGUGUAGCGGUGAAAUGCGUAGAUAUUAGGAGGAACACCAGUGGCGAAGGCGGCUUACUGGACGAUAACUGACGCUGAGGCUCGAAAGCGUGGGGAGCAAACAGGAUUAGAUACCCUGGUA